CAGCCGCCGCGGUAAUACGUAGGUGGCAAGCGUUGUCCGGAAUUAUUGGACGUAAAGGGAGCGCAGGCGGUUUAGUAAGUCUGAAGUUAAAGGCAUUGGCUCAACCAAUGUAUGCUUUGGAAACUGUUAGACUUGAGUGCGGAAGGGGAGAGUGGAAUCCCAUGUGUAGCGGUGAAGUGCGUAGAUAUAUGGAGGAACACCGGUGGCGAAGGCGACUCUCUGGUCUGUAACUGACGCUGAGGAGCGAAAGCGUGGGGAGCGAACAGGAUUAGAUACCCCUGUAGUCCCUGUCUCUUAUACA
rnacentral:rRNA from 1 species